rnacentral:lncRNA from 1 species
CCGCUUUCAGUUCUGAAUGGAAUGUUAAGAGCACUUGGUGUAUAAGGAAGUAAAUAGACUCCAUCUUCUGCUUACGUUAUUGUUGUUAGUGGGGCUAAAUAACUGGACUUGUGGAAUUGGAUGUGGAUACACCUGUGAUAUAUAUCUCUAUAUUGAACCUUACACCUAUGACUUGCUUCUUUCGCUUAAGACUCCUCCUUUCCUAUUGUCUUAACAAGCACUGCCGAUUAUGUAUAUGAUUACUUUCGCACCCCAAGAGUAGAGUAUUCAGUACUUAGCGCUUCAACAGUAAGAUAGUCUGCUCAGAACCCCAACCUAACUUUCUUUAUACUUUAC